UCUCCUGGAAACGGGUGGUAAUGCCGGAUGCUCCAGUUGAUCGCAUGGUCUUCUGGGAAAGCUUUCGCGGUAUGGGAUGGGGUCGCGUCCUAUCAGCUUGACGGCGGGGUAACGGCCCACCGUGGCUUCGACGGGUAGCCGGCCUGAGAGGGCGACCGGCCACAUUGGGACUGAGAUACGGCCCAGACUCCUACGGGAGGCAGCAGUGGGGAAUAUUGCACAAUGGGCGCAAGCCUGAUGCAGCGACGCCGCGUGAGGGAUGGAGGCCUUCGGGUUGUAAACCUCUUUUAUCGGGGAGCAAGCGAGAGUGAGUUUACCCGUUGAAUAAGCACCGGCUAACUACGUGCCAGCAGCCGCGGUAAUACGUAGGGUGCAAGCGUUAUCCGGAAUUAUUGGGCGUAAAGGGCUCGUAGGCGGUUCGUCGCGUCCGGUGUGAAAGUCCAUCGCUUAACGGUGGAUCCGCGCCGGGUACGGGCGGGCUUGAGUGCGGUAGGGGAGACUGGAAUUCCCGGUGUAACGGUGGAAUGUGUAGAUAUCGGAAAAGAACACCACC
rnacentral:rRNA from 1 species